AUGAGUCUCUUCCUUUUUGCGUAUGGCAUCACCACUCCCUUUGGCAGCAUCCACUAAUUCGGAACUUAAUUUGAAAGCCAUAUUUCGACCCGGACGUUUAUUAUUUUUUGUCUAGAAAUGUCCAAAUUUUUAUGCCUAAUACCCCAUAAAUGGUUCUAACUGUAUAUGAACAAUAAUCAAUUUUAGCCCGAAUGGUUUGUAGAGGAACCCUACCCUUUCUAAUCCACUCGACGCGUGCAAUUUCUUUUCCGUCAAGACGCCCCGCAAUUUGUACUUGAAUUCCUUUUGUAUCCGCAUGUUCAGUUAAUUCAAUAGCUUUUCUCAUUGCUUUGCAAAAUGAAACUCUAUUCUUUAAUUGUCCGGCUAGAAUUUCAUUAGUAAAUUGUGUUUCACGCAUAUACCUUUAAUAAAAUAAGUAAUUCAAAAAAAAAAAAGAAAAAAAAAAAGUAUAUUU